rnacentral:tRNA from 1 species
AGUGCAAUCUCCGGCUGCCUGGACUGGCGCUCCGGUUUUUCUGUGCUGAACCUCACGGGCGCUGAUAUACGUACUCGUCCCUUCGAUAGCUCAGCUGGUAGAGCGGAGGACUGUAGCCACUUCCUCAGCAGGAGACAUCCUUAGGUCGCUGGUUCGAUUCCGGCUCGAAGGAGACAAGGGCGGUCUUUUUUCCAGCUCCCGAUGACUUACGGCCCUUUCCUUGGGUGCCUUCAAUGACACACUGCAUUCCAAGGAGCAGUUGGAAAGUCUAGCGCUUUCUCCCCAUUUUGGGUCUCCCAACCUGCACGGGACUCAUCUGAGGCUAAGCUGCCCAUAGUUCGGGGAGACCCACAGGGAAAACAAAACAAGAAACAGAGAACUUGGAAACGGACGCUGAUUACUUUGAACGUUUGCUCAACCGAGGAAGCAGGAACUGUUCGGCCCCAUCUCAAGUCCGCAGGGCGGGCUGCCUGGCUCUGGGCAGAUCCGAGGUGGAUAGGACAAGGCAAAAGGUAGCCCUGGAGAGGUGAGUGGAUAAAGUCCCUGGACACAGGGGCUGCCGUUGGAGGAGGUUAUAAUGUCAUUGUCCUCCUGUGGAAGUAACUGUGGAGAAUUAACUAGAGACCAGCGCUGAGAGAGAAUUAAUUGGAUAAAAGUUCUAUCUAGGACAGUCCUUGAGCGUAAUUUUGUGAAGCAAAGACAAGACAACAACAAAACGAGUAAAACCUAAACACACAUCCACACACUCACUGAAAGAUUCAGAGAUUGCACAGAACACAAAUAGUUUUCUGGUAAUAAAAUCUCCCUAUCCUAAUUUUCUAGAAAAAAAGCUGUUGAAGCCACCGCGCAGUUCUCACAAGACAAAACACAUCUUCCACACAAAGGCAGAAAUACAGUAUCAUCCUUUGUGAGGAGUGCAGCAAAUAAAUGAUGUUUCUUUAGGGUCCUAGG